rnacentral:rRNA from 1 species
GACAGAGGGUGCAAACGUUGUUCGGAAUUACUGGGCGUAAAGCGCGUGUAGGCGGCUAUGUAAGUCGGGCGUGAAAUCCCACGGCUCAACCGUGGAAGUGCACCCGAAACUGCGUAGCUAGAGUCCUGGAGAGGAAGGUGGAAUGCUUGGUGUAGAGGUGAAAUUCGUAGAUAUCAAGCGGAACACCGGUGGCGAAGGCGGCCUUACUGGACCAGUGACUGACGCUGAGACGCGAAAGCGUGG